GACGAACGCUGGCGGCGUGCUUAACACAUGCAAGUCGAACGUGAUUUUUGUGGAAAUUCUUUCGGGAAUGGAAAUGAAAUGAAAGUGGCGAACGGGUGAGUAACACGUGAGCAACCUACCUUACACAGGGGGAUAGCCGUUGGAAACGACGAUUAAUACCGCAUGAGACCACAGAAUCGCAUGAUAUAGGGGUCAAAGAUUUAUCGGUGUAAGAAGGGCUCGCGUCUGAUUAGCUAGUUGGAAGGGUAAAAGCCUACCAAAGCAACGAUCGGUAGCCGGACUGAGAGGUCGGACGGCCACAUUGGGACUGAGACACGGCCCAAACUCCUACGGGAGGCAGCAGUGGGGGAUAUUGCACAAUGGAGGAAACUCUGAUGCAGCGACGCCGCGUGAGUGAAGAAGUAUUUCGGUAUGUAAAGCUCUAUCAGCAGGGAAGAUGAUGACGGUACCUGACUAAGAAGCCCCGGCUAACUACGUGCCAGCAGCCGCGGUAAUACGUAGGGGGCAAGCGUUAUCCGGAUUUACUGGGUGUAAAGGGAGCGCAGGUGGUUUGGCAAGUUGAGAGUGGAAGCAGGGGGCUCAACCCCCUGACUGCUCCCAAAACUGUUAAACUUGAGUAUGGGAGAGGCAGGCGGAAUUCCUAGUGUAGCGGUGAAAUGCUUAGAUAUUAGGAAGAACACCGGUGGCGAAGGCGGCCUGCUGGACCAAAACUGACGCUGAGGCUCGAAAGCGUGGGUAGCAAACAGG
rnacentral:rRNA from 1 species